UACGUAGGGGGCUAGCGUUGUCCGGAAUCAUUGGGCGUAAAGAGCUCGUAGGCGGCUUGUCGCGUCGUCUGUGAAAUCCCGCGGCUCAACUGCGGGCUGGCAGUCGAUACGGGCAGGCUGGAGUUCGGUAGGGGAGACUGGAAUUCCUGGUGUAGCGGUGAAAUGCGCAGAUAUCAGGAGGAACACCGGUGGCGAAGGCGGGUCUCUGGGCCGAUACUGACGCUGAGGAGCGAAAGCGUGGGGAGCGAACAGG
rnacentral:rRNA from 1 species